GAUGAAGAACGCAGCGAAAUGCGAUACGUAAUGUGAAUUGCAAAUUCAGUGAAUCAUCGAGUCUUUGAACGCACAUUGCGCCCCCUGGUAUUCCGGGGGGCAUGCCUGUCCGAGCGUCAUUGCUGCCCUCAAGCACGUCUUGUGUGUUGGGCCCCGUCCUCCGAUCCCGGGGGACGGGCCCGAAAGGCAGCGGCGGCACCGCGUCCGGUCCUCGAGCGUAUGGGGCUUUGUCACCCGCUCUGUAGGCCCGGCCGGCGCUUGCCGAUCAACCCAAAUUUUUAUCCAGGUUGACCUCGGAUCAGGUAGGGAUACCCGCUGAACUUAAGCAUAUCAAUAAGCGGAGGA
rnacentral:misc_RNA from 1 species